AAUAUACUUCCUCCGUCCCAAAAUUCUUGUCUUAAAUUUGUUUAGAUAUGAAUGUAUCUAGUCAAGUUUUAGUAUUUAGAUACAUACAUUUUUAAACAAAGUUAAGACAAGAAUUUUGGAACAGAAGGAGUACUUC
rnacentral:pre_miRNA from 1 species